UCCGGUUGAUCCCGGCGGAGGCCACUGCUAUCGGAGUUCGAUUAAGCCAUGCGAGUCGAGAGGUGUAAGACCUCGGCAUACUGCUCAGUAACACGUGGACAACCUACCCUGAAGAGGGGGAUAACCCCGGGAAACUGGGGAUAAUACCCCAUAGACUGUGGAUGCUGGAAUGCUUUGUAGUUGAAAGGUCCGCCGCUUCAGGAUGGGUCUGCGGCCGAUUAGGUUGUUGUUGGGGUAACGGCCCAACAAGCCUGUAAUCGGUACGGGUUGUGGGAGCAAGAGCCCGGAGAUGGAUUCUGAGACACGAAUCCAGGCCCUACGGGGCGCAGCAGGCGCGAAAACUUUACAAUGCGAGAAAUCGUGAUAAGGGAACUCCGAGUGCCCGUAAAAUCGGGCUGUCCGCCAGUGUAAAUAACUGGUGAAGAAAGGGCCGGGCAAGACCGGUGCCAGCCGCCGCGGUAAUACCGGCGGCUCGAGUGGUGGCCACUAUUACUGGGCUUAAAGCGUUCGUAGCUGGUCUGUUAAGUCUCUGGGGAAAUCUUCCGGCUUAACCGGAAGGCGUCUCAGGGAUACUGGCAGACUAGGGACCGGAAGAGGUGAGAGGUACUCCAGGGGUAGGAGUGAAAUCCUGUAAUCCUUGGGGGACCACCUGUGGCGAAGGCGUCUCACCAGGACGGCUCCGACAGUGAGGAACGAAAGCUGGGGGAGCAAACCGGAUUAGAUACCCGGGUAGUCCCAGCUGUAAACGAUGCGCGUUAGGUGUAUCGGUGACCACGAGUCACCGAGGUGCCGAAGAGAAAUCGCGAAACGCGCCGCCUGGGAAGUACGGUCGCAAGGCUGAAACUUAAAGGAAUUGGCGGGGGAGCACCACAACGGGUGGAGCCUGCGGUUUAAUCGGACUCAACGCCGGGAAACUCACCGGACAAGACAGCUGAAUGAUAGUCGGGCUGAAGACUCUACUUGACUAGCUGAGAGGAGGUGCAUGGCCGUCGUCAGUUCGUACUGUGAAGCAUCCUGUUAAGUCAGGCAACGAGCGAGACCCA
rnacentral:rRNA from 1 species